AUUCUAUGAUGUGGGCAUUGGGUCAAGAGGUUUUUAAAGCGAUCGAAGUAUUUUUAGAAUAAUUCACCAGCUAAUUGAUAAAAUUGAUUUAUCUUAUUUCUAAUCCU